CGUUAACCCAAACCCUUCCCUUCUCCAUCAAGGUCACCCAAAUUGGAGGUAAACGUUGAAUGUAUCAACGUCAACGAAAGCAAAUCUUAAUCGAACCUAACCUACAUGGAUAAAAAUAUAAACCAUGGAAUUUUUACACUACAUACAAAAUGCAUAGAUCAAACUCCUGCAGAGCUGGAUGCUGAUGUGACAGUCUGUGACUUCACCUACUACAGGAUGAUGUAGAAGAUGCCCCAAGAAGUCACAGCAUGUCACAUCAGCAUCCAGCUCUGUAGGAUCAGACGAUACGGAAAACAAAAUGCACAGCUAACUGGGAGCUGUGAACUGGGAAGCAGGUGUUCUUCUAAGGGACACCCUAGAGGCAGCAAGGUGGUGCGAACUCCAAACAUUUAAAAGCACUAUUUCCCUCAGUGUAAUUGGAAUGGACAGGAAAGACCGCAUUUACAACCCUUAAAGAACUACGGCUGUAUGAUGGCCUGGAUGAAGAUGAAAAUAUUAUCCUCAAGGAACCAUUCAUGUUCCUGUUACAGAUAGGUUAUGAUAUGUUCUAUGUGGAGGCAGUUGACAACAAGAAAAUGACUGUCUUUGCCUCUUCUGAGGAGCAGGUGUGAAGCCAUUUUUGAGGAGUGGUCAAACCUUGUUUUUGUCUGCUGUGUUAAAUGUGUUAUGUUGUUUAGUAAAGAUGACGUAGAAGUCACCCGAGCCUCUGAUCUCUUUACUGGAGCUAGUAUAACUUAAUGUACAAAACACAUUCAGCUUGUCAGUAUGUCUAUAUGGUAUAGUCUGUCUCCAUUCUCAUGAGGAAAGUAAAUAGCAUUAUAAGGAUAGGUAGUAACUGUGUGUAUGUAGAUAUAUAUAUAUAUAUGCUCAAUGAAAUAAUAUAAUUAAAGUUACAACAUUUAUCAACACAAUUUUAACAGUACAUGACAUACAUAACAAGUCUGUUGAUCACUGCAACAAUAUCAGUAGCUUGUCUCAAAAAUAGCAUGAAGCAAAAAGUGUUACAACACAUCUGCUGAUACUUUAUAUAAUAUUUCUUACACUCUUCAAAAAUAAAAUACUUUGUAUUCAACGUG